rnacentral:rRNA from 1 species
UAAGGGCGACUGAAACGGGAAGAGCCCAGCGCAUAACCUCGAACCCUCACUGAGGCGUCUUCGAGGGGUGUUGCGUUUCAGAGGGUCUAGCACGCCGGCCAUUCUCGCCUAAGUCUCGUUUGAAAGCGGCUCAUUACCCAUGGAGGGUGAUAGGCCCGUAUGGCGACUCACCCGUGAGGGAUACCUUGGCCGGCGGAAAGGACUUUUCUGUAGAGUCAGGUUGCUUGAAACUGCAGCCUAAAGCAGGUGGUAAACUCCAUCUAAGGCUAAAUAUGACCACGAGACCGAUAGCGAACAAGUACCGUGAGGGAAAGUUGAAAAGAACUUUGAAGAGAGAGUUCAAUAGUACGUGAAACCGUUAAGAGUCUAAACGGGUGGAACUCGUAGAUCGAAAUGAGGGGAUUCAGCUCGACGGCGUCGGCUGGGCCGAGAGGUCUUUAUCCCAAGUCGAUUCCCACGUGCCGCGCUCGCCGCGGACGCGGGACCGCCUCUGGUUCCUCACGCCGGCGUCGGAGGGCGUAUUUCUCCUCGAAGUAGAUUACCGCAGCCAUUGCUGGGGACGUCGAAGGCCCGGGCGGAUUGGUACCUCGUCGCUUUCCCCGCCCGUCGGGGCGGGCGGCGGGGGAAACCCCCGGUGGCAUAUCCUAACGGCCCUGCGAUGGUUCGACGAGUGGCGAGGGGGCCGCCGCCUCUUGGUCACACCCUUAAGGUGCGAUCGGGCGGUUCCCUCUGCGGUAAUGGCUAAAUCGGUGGACCACCCGCCCCGUCUUGAAACACGGACCAAGGAGUUCAACAUGUGUGCGAGUCAUUGGGUGCACUAAACCCACAGGCGAAAUGAAAGUGAGAAACUGGGGGGCCCUCGUUCGGGGGCCUCCCUGGGCUGAUCCCUAGGCCGCGCGGCAGCCCCGGGGCCCGUGGGGGGGUCAAGGGAGGGUGAGACCCUUUCCCCUCUCGUACUCGCCCGCGUCUGGUCCUCGGUGAGUUGCGGCGGCCCUUGCCCGAGCGUCGCUCCGGCGGGUGGCUCCGCGGUGGCGACCGCCUCCGCGUCCAUCCGCAGAAGGAGCUGUCGGGGGGGCGCAAGCCCGGGACUUGCCGUAUCGGCCCUCCGCGGAGGGGCGGCGGGGGUGGAAACACGCCCGCCGUUUCCGUUCGGCGGCAGGUGCCGGCAAGUACCUUGAGCAGAUAUGUUGAGACCCGAAAGAUGGUGAACUAUGCCUGGCCAGGAUGAAGCCAGAGGAAACUCUGGUGGAGGUCCGGAGCGAUUCUGACGUGCAAAUCGAUCGUCAGAGCUGGGUAUAGGGGCGAAAGACUAAUCGAACCAUCUAGUAGCUGGUUCCCUCCGAAGUUUCCCUCAGGAUAGCUGGCACUCGUUCAAGAGUUUCAUCCGGUAAAGCGAAUGAUUAGAGGUCUUGGGGACGAAACGUCCUCAACCUAUUCUCAAACUUUAAAUGGGUGAGAGUCUGGGCUUUCUUGGAAGGCGGCGGCGCCGGCGGUCCUCCGCCGCGCGUUCUACGCCGCCGGCUACUGAAGCUCCAGAGUCAAAUCACUGAGUGCCUAGUGGGCCAAUUUUGGUAAGCAGAACUGGCGCUGNGGNAUNANNNAAAUGUCGAGUUAAGGGGCCAAAGNGAAUGCUCNUAGAACCCAANANAGGUGUUGGUUGCUAUANACANCAGGACGGUGGCCNUGGAANUUGGAAUCCGCUAAGGAGUGUGUAACAACUCNCCUGCCGAANCAACUAGCCCUUAAAAUGGUAUGGCGCUCAAGCAUUCUCCCNAUACUCNACCGCCNGCGGCANAACGGGCUUCNCCACGCAAGUCUUUAAGCCCCGGUGAGUAGGAGGGCGCGGUGGUGAGCGUANAAGGUUUCGGCGUGAGCCGGACUGGANCCGCCACUGGUGCANAUCUUGGUGGNANUANCNACUAAUCGAGAGAGACUCCCUUGUAGGCCGAAGUGGANAAGGGUUCCAUGUGAACAUCAAUUGGACAUGGUUCAGUCNCUCCUAANCCCAAGGCUAACGCCUUGUACCACGUCNAGCGGUAACNGCUUCNGACGANCAGGAGCACAAAGCGCUUGCUUCUGGUCCAACNCAGUGCGGCAGCAGCCGUGCGGGGCUGCCUUCUAGCGAGUAGGUCGACGAUUGAAGAAGAAGAAGNNGGUUNNNCNANGGACCUNNUNANUNNGUUGUCNGGNGCANCNNCCGGAGCCAGCAGCNAAGNCGGCUGCUNCNGCCCCGUUUGUUNNUCNUCGNAUCNNGAUGNCGGGGGGCGGNNCCNNNAANNNUANNCCUCNCNUCGUCCUCNUCCUCGUGANAAANGNNAGAAAANGAGGGNNGANACUGCUNCNUUGANNNGANGANCUCCUCNNGAGGC